rnacentral:rRNA from 1 species
AGAGUUUGAUCCUGGCUUAGAACGAACGCUGGCGGCAUGGAUUAGGCAUGCAAGUUGAACGAACUCCUUCGGGAGUGAGUAGCGGAAGGGUGAGGAACGCGUGAGUAAUCUGCCCCCCAGUUGGGAAUAACAGUUGGAAACGACUGCUAAUACCGAAUGUGGCUUAAGCUUCGCCUGGAGCUUUGGCUAAAGAUUUAUCGCUGGGGGAUGAGCUCGCGUCCCAUUAGGUAGUUGGUGAGGUAACGGCUCCCCAAGCCGACGAUGGGUAGCUGGUCUGAGAGGAUGGUCAGCCACACUGGGACUGAGACACUGCCCAGACUCCUACGGGAGGCUGCAGUCGAGAAUCUUGGGCAAUGCGCGAAAGCGUGAACCCCCAGCAAUGCCGCGUGUAUGAUGAAGGCCCUCGGGUCGUAAAGUACUGUCUCCCGUGACGAAAUUUGACGGUAGCGGGGAAGGAAGCCACGGCUAACUACGUGCCAGCAGCCGC